rnacentral:rRNA from 1 species
AGGCGGAGCGAAUCUCAAAAAGACCGUCCCAGUUCGGAUUGCAGGCUGCAACCCGCCUGCAUGAAGUUGGAAUCGCUAGUAAUCGCGGAUCAGAAUGCCGCGGUGAAUACGUUCCCGGGCCUUGUACACACCGCCCGUCACACCAUGGAAGUCUGCAAUGCCCGAAGCCGGUGGCCUAACCACUUAUGUGGAAGGAGCCGUCUAAGGCAGGGCAGAUGACUGGGGUGAAGUCGUAACAAGGUAAC